AUUGAACGCUGGCGGCAUGCUUUACACAUGCAAGUCGAACGGUAACAGGGUGCUUGCACCGCUGACGAGUGGCGAACGGGUGAGUAAUGCGUCGGAACGUGCCGAGUAGUGGGGGAUAACGCAGCGAAAGUUGUGCUAAUACCGCAUACGUACUGAGGUAGAAAGUGGGGGACCUUCGGGCCUUACGCUAUUCGAGCGGCCGACGUCUGAUUAGCUAGUAGGUGAGGUAAAGGCUCACCUAGGCGACGAUCAGUAGCGGGUCUGAGAGGAUGGUCCGCCACACUGGGACUGAGACACGGCCCAGACUCCUACGGGAGGCAGCAGUGGGGAAUUUUGGACAAUGGGCGAAAGCCCGAUCCAGCCAUGCCGCGUGUCUGAAGAAGGCCUUCGGGUUGUAAAGGACUUUUGUCAGGGAGGAAAUCCCUAGUGCUAAUAACACUGGGGGAUGACAGUACCUGAAGAAUAAGCACCGGCUAACUACGUGCCAGCAGCCGCAGUAAUAC
rnacentral:rRNA from 1 species